ensembl:lncRNA
AUGAGCAUGUUCAACUGUUUCCUCACCACAGGUUCACGCCGUACCAACACCUGCUUGACUAAUAAAAUGGCUUUAGGGACCGGCAGCUUGGAUUACAGCAGAGGUAUUCUGGGAAAGCAAGGGCAUGAGAUACAGGAACCAGCAUGUUCGCUUCAACCCAAGACCCCUGAACAGGAAGCCGAGGUGAAGUCUGGGGAAUGCAUUUGGAGAGACAUGUUUGGUACAAAGCCAAACUACCGACCGAAGUCUAAUGAGUAAUUGAAAAACUUUCAGAAAUUCAUGACAAAUAUAUACUAUAAAUGCUGUAUGGUGUAGAAAAUGAAGUCUUGGUUUGAUGUUUGUAGGUAAAAUCAUUAUAUUAUUCGUUACACGUAAAUCUUUUUGCUGCUAAACCACAUCAAUUAUGUGUAGUGUCUCCAUUUCUGAGGUAUAAUCCAAACCAAAGCUGUAAAAACAUUAUUUAUACAUCAGAAAUAACUGAUUUUCAGAAGGAUCUAGUCUGAUUUUGUACUUUAUAAAACUGUUUUAAUGAUUUAAGUGCAAAUACAAAUUCAUUAGAAUGACUUAAAAUGGAUCAAUCGAUAGACCAAAUGAAAUAAAAAAAAAAUCCACUUGUGUUUCAAAGACUCCUUCCAGCCCAAGCAGAGGGAUGAAUACAGGACACAGAAGCACACAUAACCAGAACGAAGAAAAACUGACUGAUGGUGAGGUGUGGAUAUUUUUAAAGCAGUAAUAAGCAAGUAAGAUGCUGCGAAGAAAGCAAACUGCCCACCUGAACAUCAACUCCCAGAACUUUACAUGUACAGCAUUAGAUUAAAACAAACACAAAAAUAAAACAUCCCACAUUCCAGUGACAUUGGAGACUGAGAUCAUCUGGCGGGCCGAGGGAUAAUGGACCCUUCGUCGUCAUCGUCGGGUUCAAUCGAGACACAGUAUUGUAUAAGAGAGAUAUUAAUACACACAGACACUUUAGAGUAUUCAAGGACAAUAGGAAUCUAAGCCUGAAUGAGAAAAUAAAUCAUUGGUGGCACCAGAGUUUAAAACCUAAUAGAAACAGUACAAGACUUUUCAACUGCAGCAGCUCUAUUCAAUAAUAUUUCCACAUGAGGACAAAGUGAUGGGCAUUCAGAUGUUUUCAAUGGUGAGGCCAUUUAUCCAAGCACAGGCAUUCCUAACUUAAGCAUUCUGGAUCCUCUGUGGUGUCAUGCUAGCCACCCUCAAGGCUCAACAAGCUGAAGCUGUACAGCUGAAAUAACUGAAAACACAACCCAUCUAGGGUUUUUUUUUAAGACUGACUCAGACCAGCAGAAUUCCUAACGCUGGUUUCCCAAGACACACUGAGAGUUCGGACCAAUGUCUUUCUGUGCAAAGUUUGCAAGUAGAGUCACAGAGCGGCUGUGGAGUCCGCUCUGAAAAUCCUCCAUAAAUGUCCAACAUUUGGGUUAAUCCCAGUUAGCUACCCAAAUGGACGAGGUCACAUCGAGAUGAGCUCUAGAUGACUGGAUUCUUCUCUAGCUGGUUUGGAAUCCAAAGCAAACAUCCCUUCAGAGCUACUUAGACAGGAAAGAGUCAACAUGCAGAUGUGUUUCCCAGCUUCUUAGUGUCGGUGGUCCUGUGUAUUCGCUAUGCUGAUUGUGAGACCAUCAAAUCCAGUUAAAGAGAUGAAGAUGAAGGAAUAGUACUAGUAAAAUAAUACAAUUCAAUAGACAUUAUCAGAUACAAGGAGCAAAUUACAAAUAAGAUUAAAUAAACUUGGGCACCAGGCAUGAAAAACUGGGUAUAUGUACAUUAAUGCACACUUAAGACUUAGCAUGUGGUUGACUACUGGCUCUAUGUGUGAACGCCUGGAUAAUCAAUUAAUUUUAGAUGUGUGCAAUAAUCCCAAUUGAUUCCUGAAUUAAACACCAUCCAGAAACAAGU